AUAAUACAUUACCUGCGAUUACGCAUAAGGACCUUUGAACAGAAAUAUCUAACCGAGAUGUCAAACACAUUUUUCAAUUAGCAUACUAGUUACACGACUUUAAUCAAACACAUUUUUACAAUUAGCACACUAGUUACAUGACUUUUAAUCAAUAAAUAGGGAUUAGAUUGCGUCAUCAAAGGUUUACUAAGACACCAUUUUUCUGUAUUACGGGCAGUUUUAUAGCAGUUAAUUUGCUUACUUGCCAAAUCCUGUUUUAGGGUCCGAGACGAACCGAUUUUAUGUACGUAUUUUUCAUUGGUCAGUUGAAUUUGUAAUAAGAUUUUUAAUUGUAUAAUUUCGAAGAAAUCAACCGUUUCCAAAUCCUUUAUAAGCACAUCAGCUACCCCGAGAAAGCCAAAACUCUGGCUUCGUAGAAAAAUAAAUGUUAUUGGGAGCUGACAAGAUUUUUAUUCUUUUUAUAGGUAAGUCAAAUUCUGUACUCUGUAAUUUUUUUUCACAUUUGUAAAAUCUGGAUUGGUAACUUUUAAAUUUUAACAGAGAUCUUAUCUUAAUGCUAGGCACAUGUGUAUUGGAAAUGUUUGUUUUAUAUCUAUCCAGCUAUUCAGACAACUGCUUAGUAUUUUUGUUCAUGUGUAAGAUUUGUACUUCUAUGGUUUAGUUUUAUACAUAUGCAUUUCGCUAUUCAGAAAACUUCAAAGUAUUUUUGUUUAUGAGUAAGAUUUAGUAGAUUCUUUUUACUGUUGAUUUAUUACAGAAAUUAUGUUUUAUAAUGAAAUCUGAACUAGUUAUUAUUCUUAUAAAGAAAAGAAACGUAUUGAGUACUUUAAUUAUCGAUCAGUUAAAGCGUACUUUCAUUGAGAACUUAUUUCAUUUGCGUUUUUCGUCCUUUGGAAUAAUGUUCUAGGCAUUGAGUACUCUUCACAGGAAAACAAAUUUAGAUGUAUUAAUGAAAUUAAAUAACUGAAUAAAACCGAAAAUAUAACUUUUUAGGCAUUUCAAUGUAUUUAAGAAACAAAUCUAGAGUAGGCAGUAUGUUGGUUGAGUGUCGGUUAAAUGAAAGAAACCAGUAUGGUAGGAUUUUUGUUUGUUUAUAUUACAACUAUUGGUUGAGAAACUUAAGAGUAUGAUUUUCUAGUUCAUUAAAGAGUUAGUCUCUAGGCUUGGUGAAUUACUUAUCACUUUCUAAAGUUUAUUGAGCAUUGAUUGAAUGUAUGUUUGAUGUUAUGUAUGUGAUGUAUAUGAAUGUUUGUACAAAAAAACCUCUGGCUUCGUAGAAAAAUAAAUGUUAUUGGGAGCUGACAAGAUUUUUAUUCUUUUUAUAGAGAUCUUAGUAUCCCCGCAGCUUUAGCCAUGAGGCGGAGAAAGAAAAGAAAGAAACUCUUGUAGCAAGGAGCCUAUAUCUAACGGCCAUGGGCACUAUACAGUACAGGCCGAAAGAAUAACCAUCCUUUCAGAUAUACCAACACAUCUUUUUAUGCAUAGCACAUAGACGUACACCAUCUUUUGGAAUAAGACAUUCAUCCUAGAAACCAGUUAAAAAGCUUGUUGAAUAGUCAAAACAUUAACACUAAGAGGUGUCCUCGCAUGAGAAAUCAACUUACAAGUACGGACAGAACAGAUUUAGUUCCAUAACGCCUGUUCGACAACGCUGGUGAAAUGAGACUGGAACGAGUUCAUUUAUCCUGAUAGGAAUUCAAUACAGAGUGUAACAAUAAAUGAGAGCAAAUUUCUAUGUCCAUACCAAAUGUCAAUACCAUUAUGGUCUAUGAACAAUGCUUUUCAUGUGUAAAUUCUAUGGUGAUGUACAUAAUGUACAUGCUUGAUGUCUAAACACUUCCAUAUGACUUUUAUUCCUAUGAUGAUAUGAUUUAUACGGAAUUGUUGUUAUCGUGUGCAGAUUUUGAAACAAAAUGUUUAAAAUAUGAUAUCCAGCUAUAUG